UACGUAGGGGGCUAGCGUUGCUCGGAAUCACUGGGCGUAAAGCGCACGUAGGCGGAUUGUUAAGUCAGGGGUGAAAUCCUGGAGCUCAACUCCAGAACUGCCUUUGAUACUGGCGAUCUUGAGUCCGGGAGAGGUGAGUGGAACUGCGAGUGUAGAGGUGAAAUUCGUAGAUAUUCGCAAGAACACCAGUGGCGAAGGCGGCUCACUGGCCCGAUACUGACGCUGAGGCGCGAAAGCGUGGGGAGCAAACAGG
rnacentral:rRNA from 1 species